UACGUAGGGGUCAAGCGUUGUCCGGAUUUAUUGGGCGUAAAGAGCGUGUAGGCGGCCUUACAGGUCAGCUGUGAAAACUCGAGGCUCAACCUCGAGACGUCGGUUGAAACCGUAAGGCUAGAGUCCGGAAGAGGAGAGUGGAAUUCCCGGUGUAGCGGUGAAAUGCGCAGAUAUCGGGAAGAACACCCGUGGCGAAGGCGGCUCUCUGGGACGGUACUGACGCUGAGACGCGAAAGCGUGGGGAGCGAACAGG
rnacentral:rRNA from 1 species